rnacentral:lncRNA from 1 species
GAGUUCCAUGCCCAUUUCCUUCGAGCCUCUGUGUGCUUCCACCUAAAGUUCAACUGAUGUAGCUUGAGAACAAAACAUCCCAUCCAGCUCUGACCUUUGACUGUUCACUGCUGCAAUUCGCCUCCCUCUACCUUCCAAAAUUGGAGCAUGUAAGUAUUUCCUUGUUUUGUAGAUGGUCUGGCCACCGGAAAUGAAAGACCUGUCUAGGAGUGUGACCUGCCAAAUAAAGCCAGGCUUAUAUUAUGUUAUGCCAUUGUUGAUCCUCCCAGACAGCCCAUGGGCUUUGGCAGCCUAUUGUCGUGAAAAACAAACAAACAAACAACUCUGCAUUGACUCAAAAAGGAGCGAAUGAAGAGUAAAUGAAAAUGGGGAGUCACUCGCUCCCAGGAGAUGGGCACUCGAAUAGGAAUGGAAUUCAGAGUUUUAAAACAGAACAGAUUCAGGUAUUAGGGGAACAGGAAAUAUAUAGGCCAUCACAUUUACAUUUAUAAGGCUGAGAAUCUACUUCUGAAUCCUUCAUGAAAUCAGAGUCUACCUUGUCUUUUCCUGGAGUGUCAGAAAUACAGUCCAAUAUCUAAAAGAAAUUUUUGAAGGUUGGCUUAGAACUGUAAGUGGAGUUGGGGUGGUUUGGGGGCUUGCCUUCCAGACAUCUAAUAGAAAAGCUGCAAACAAAAAAUGCUCAUUAAAAACUUCAGCUUUUGGAGUUCUCAUCAUGGUGCCGUGGAUAAUGAAUCCAACUAGGAACCAUGAGGUUGCGGGUUCAAUCCCUGGCCUCGCUCAGUGGGUUAAGAAUCCAGUGUUGCCAUGAGCUGUGGUGUAGGUUGCAGAUGCGGCUCAGAUCUGGCAUUGUUGUGGCUCCGGCAUAGGCUGGUGGCUACAGCUCCGAUUUGACCCCUAGCCUGGGAACCUCCAUAUGUCAUGGGUGCGGCCCUAGAAAAGACAAAAAAAAAAAAAAAAAAAAAAAAAAAAAUUCAGCUUUCUUUAAGGGCCACCUUUGAUUGACACUUAAACAUGUAACACAAAUCCUCUUGGAAUAGUCAGGAAGAGUGUAAUAUUUGGUAUGAUAUGAUAUAAUAUAUAGUAAAAAUCCAGCUGCAGGUUAGGCUUGACCUAAAAGUAAAAUCCAGAGAAUCAAAGUUGGGUCAGUAGGUGACAUUUAGGGUGGUUUUAUUUCAAUAGGCUGCCCCUUAAGACUGAAGAAAUCCCCCAGUGAUGGAAAUCUAGGCUCCCUUCUUUCAUUUCCUGCUUACUUCCCUGUCACCUGGGAGAUGCACACAUGGUCCAGAGGCUGAUAAGUAUAUUUUUGCCCAACAGGGAGGUUCCAGGCAUCUCAGAAAAGGUAGCCUGUGCAGUUCAGACCUUGAAGAAGACACAGCAGCAGGGGGAAAGUGACCCAGAAGUGGGUAAAGAGAAAGUGAAAAAUGUAGUGAUGGAUAUUUAAUGUAAGUGGUCAUUCCCAUUCAAACCCAAAAGGGCAGGUAUUUUUAACUGGAGGAAGUAAGGAAAGUCAGAGAAGCAUUUGAGGAAGCACAAGAUUUCAGCUUAGCCCUGAAUCUGGAAAGGCAGGAAGAUUAGUGAUGACGAGGAGCCCGAUUCAAAAUGGCCCAACUCAAAUCUGUUCCUCAACAUCCUGGGCAUUGCUGAAGGAACUCAGUUGUGGCUUUUCCAUUAAAGUUUUGCACCCAGAUUCCUCAGAAUUGAGUUAUCUAGAAUGAGAAAAAACAUCCCUAUGACGUAAAAGAUGACUGUUUUGGAAGAGAAGGCUAAACGUUUACAAGAAGAACAAAGCGCAAAGGAUCGAAAAUGUUCUCAGAGUUUUCCAAAUAUUUUUUAGAAUUAACACCUGGACCGGAUGGAGGAAAUGAUCCGGGUGGCAAAAGCCGCAGCAGAGAAGCAAGAUGCGGCAGUGAUGGGGCUUUCUACCGGGGUUCAUCCACACCAAAGGCUGAAGCUGGACCAUCUCUUGAAGUUUGUCUUGUUCUUGAAAUUCCUGAUUAUCAAAGCUCAAGUCUCACUGUGAUGUCACUUGGGAAGUCCAGGCUUAUCCAGAUUUUCCAUGGACAGAAAUGGCCCUGGGGAUUUCAAAUCUGCCUCAUUUGGAAAAUUCAGAAAAUUACGUAGCUGUCACAUCAAGAAAACCUUUGAUUUGAAAGUUAAUCAGAAGUCAUUUAUUAACUUUUUUAUACAGUUUUUAAAAGGAACGUGUGUCUAAACAUCUACUUGAAAAAAACUACAAGGCUGAAAAUAACUUUUUCUCACUUAGUUUGGCAGAGAGUUAAGUCACAGUCAAAAAACUAGCAUAUUACUAAUUUAAUAUGAGAUAGUUUUAUUUAGAAGUUGUUUUCAGUAUCUUAUUUUUGCUCAAUUGAGGUCAAAUUAUAACUUCAAGCAAAAUUAUAGUUCUUUAACUCAGGAUUAUUUAGUCCAUUUUCAUUCACAUUAAACAAAGAUAGUUUUUCAGCUGUAUUUUAGGGUGUAGGGGAGAAAAAAAGGUUUUCCUCAGUCCUCUUAGGGCUCUUGGCUUGGUGUGAAAACUAAACUGACAAGACAGAUUAACAGUUAACACUUCUGAUUAAAUUUUUACAUGUACCUGGGAGCUUUCACAAGGGAAUGAAGACCUAAAGAAGUGGCCAGAGGAGUUCCUGCCGUGACUCAGUGGUUAACGAACCUUACUGGUAUCCAUGAAGACGAGGAUUUGAUCCUUGGCUUCCAUCAGUGGGCUAAGGAUCCGGUGUUGCCAUGAGCUAUGUGCAGGUUGCAGACAUGCCUGGGAUCCUGCAUUGCUGUGGCUGUGGUAUAGGCGGGCAGCUGUAGCUCUGAUUCGACCCCUAGCCUGGGAACCUCCAUAUACUCUGGGUGCAGCCCUCAAAAGACAAAAAGACCAAAAAAAAAAAAAAAAAAAAAAAAA